UGAAGAGCAUUUUACAAUUCCCACACUUACCAUUAUAUUCACAUGUUCAAUAUACCAAUUACCCAUUUCAUGAUUUUCAAUACUAGUACAUAAAAAGCCCGAUUUCAUAGUUUUCUUCAAGAAUAACCUAGUUUAGGCAUAUUAAAAAUCAUUGCAUCUUUCUACAUUUUUAUAUCCUAAAAAUGUCAUUCAAGUCUCAAUUUCAAGAUAGGUCACCUUGGUUGACAAAGGCCCUAAUUUUCAGAAAAUCCUUGCACUGAGUUUGGGGAAAACUACAUAUGUACCACAUACUUUCAUAAAUCAUUUUCAAGAGAGGAAUGCAUGCUUAAAUAACCCGUACGUACUUUGUAAACACACUAGCAAAACACUAUUGAAACCAGAAUCCUUAAUUUCAAAGCAUAGAAAACAAUUUAGGCAUGCUUUUCAAAAUGUCCAACAUACUCGAACACUACUGAAAGUGGAAUCCUUAUGACAUGCUCUGCAAAGCAUAUGCUUUUCAAAAUGGCCAACGUACUUGAAUCAUUUUAUAGAAACCCAAACAUGCAUCUCAAGCGUUCUAAAGUUAACUUAACCGUGGAUACAAAUAUAUUUAGAGAGUAAAUUGAAUCCUAUCUCUUUCAAGCCUUACCAAGUUUGCCAAAACCAAGAGGGGGAAAGAGAAGCUAUGAGAAUUUCCCAGAAAGAGUAGCGCUUCUGGUGCUCCAUUGAAGUUCCAAGAGACUUGAAGCUUUUUCCAUGGCUCUUCUAAGCCUCCAAGGAGCUUCCAAGUAACAGAAGACUAGUGUAUUGGAAAGGGUUUGAGUUCGUAGACCUCGUCUGUGGACCAUUUGAGGAUGAGGUGGAAGAAAACACAACAAAGGGGGAGUAUGGCUCUUGGCCAAAGCUGUCAGCAAGGGGAAAAAGGGGUCUGUCUUGGCCUUCUUCUUUCCUCGUAUGUGAGGGAGCUACCAAGAAAGAGAGGGGAGCAAUAUGGCCCUCGGCUAGGCAGGUUUGGGAAGGGGAAGAGGGCUGCGUCGCCCUUGUUAAGGAAAAGCAAGAGAGACCAAAAAAAAAAAAAAUAAAUAAGGUAGUUCUCAAGGAAGUUCUCACAGAAAUAGCAGCAGGGAUGCUGCCUUUGUCUCCUUUUGGUGGGUGAAAUAAUGUAACCCAAAUGGGGCCAAAUUCACAUUCAAGAGAUGCCACACUUGGUCGCCAAGUUUUCCCUCAAGUGCCACAUGUUAAGUUUCAAUAGAAUAAUUGAGGGAGAGAGAAACAAGGUCUUCCAAGAAAGCUACAUAUAAAAAAAUAUGUCUCCCUCAUGUAUAAAGGCCACAUGGCUUGCCAAGCUAGAAAAAGGCGGGAAAGGAUAUUUCCAAGCACUUCCCUAAGUGCUUUAAUUCAAAAUAAAGCAUAAAUUUUGGGGGGAAAAGAUUUGGGCUCUAGUUGUGUCUCUUAACCAAGCCAAAUUAAAGUGUAACUAAGUGCCUCAUAUGUAGAAUUUAAUUUUUUUUUUGAUAAAUAAGCACACUUUAUUGAGAAAGUAUCAAGACGAUGCAAAGAAUUACAAAAACGAGCCUAACAAUCAGAAAACUGCUGAAACCGAAACUGCACUAAAUAACAAGGCAAAAACAAAAGACCUAUCGAGUCAAGUCCUCUACAAAAUCAACAAAAGACAAAAUAUCUGGGUCCACUGUCAACGUUAUCCAACUGUGCAACACAAUGAACAAACGCCACUCCAAACAGGCUGUGGAACGCAUCUCCCCCAAAAAACCCCCACCUAUUAUGCUCCAACCAAACUAGUCAUAUAAGACAAUGGCCAGUCAAUAACCAAGCCUUCUGCCGUCUCCUCCCAACCCUUCCCCCAACCCAACUUUGUAAUACCGCCCUUACGGUCCCCGGUUGAACCCAAGCCAAACCGAAGAUAGCAACUAUAGACAUCCAAAGGCGUGAAACAACUGGACAGAAAAUAAGCAAAUGGUCCACUGUCUCCAUAGCUCCACAACACAAACAACACCAAUUGACCAAAAUAUGCCCACGACGAAUCAAGUUAUCAAUCGUCAAAAUACGUCGGAACGUUGCUGUCCACACAAAGAAAGCGACUUUGGACGGAUAACCCACCACCCAAACACUCUUCCAUGGGAAUGGCAACUCAUCCCCUCCCAGAAGCCUAUGA